UCUCGUUCUUAUCCAUUCACGCGGUGUGUACUCACCUCCCAUCUUCCACCUCCUCCCCCCCCUCGCACCACACCUCACCGGAGAUGGCAGUCGUCUACCCCGUAGCAAAACCUCCCUCGCGCUCCGCUGCGGGGAGGCAGUUGCGCUCACCUGUGCGCACCUGUUGUCUGCCCACCACCUGCCGAUUUCUUCCCAUUCCUCACCUCGCACCACACCUCGCUGAAGACUACCGCCACCCACACCUCUCCGGGCAACACAUCUUCGCUCCCCAACGCACUCGAUUCAAGCCUCCCUCCUCCCAUUGUUGCGACCGUGCCCGAUAGGUGCUUCAACCAACGCCGCCGGAGCGCCACGACAGUCACCGGGGUAUUGCGAUGGCGGGUCCCACGCCCUGCGGUGCUGCAACCAGGGCGGCCAAUCACUAGUAGAAAACAGGGCAAAGGUCACAGGGCAGUUUUCACAUUAGCCCCGGUUCAGUCACGAACCGGGACCCAUGGGGGCAUUCGUCCCGGUUCGUGAGCCCAGGGGGCCGGCCGGGGCCUCGUGGGCAUUGGUCCCGGUUCGUAUGGAACCAUUUGUCCCGGUUUGAGCCACGAACCGGGACUAAUGGUCCUCGCUCCUGGCCCACAACCAUUUGUCCCGGUUCUUGGCAUGAACCGGGACAGAAGGCCCGGAUUUAGUACCGGUUCAUGCCACGAACCGGGACCGAUGAGGUGCCUAUAUAUACCCCUCGCCCGCGAGCAGAGCACUCCAGUGCUCUGUUUUUCUCUGGCUGGCGAGGGGAGGGCUUUGUGGUGCUCUAGCUCACCUCCUAUGCACAUGAGGUGUUCGAUGAAAUGCCCGAGCCACACUAGUUAAGCUUUGUCCUCUCGAAGCUCGACCUCAAAGCUCCAUUUUCCUCGAGAUUUGUCUAGGUUUAGCGGCCCGUCACGUCCCAUUCCCGUCUUCACCGCCGUCGACCGCCCGCGCCGAUCUCGUCGCCGGCAACACCGUGUGCGAUGGUUUUGGUAUCCGCCCCCGUCGGCCCUCGUCCUGUCUAUGAUUCGGAUGUGGUAUAUAUUAUCUUUUUUAACUAUUUGAUUCAUUUAUUGUUUAUGACAAAUAUACCGGCCAACGUGACAUAGAUUUUAUUUAUCUAGGAGGUGGUUGAACCGGAAAUUCUAACCGACCCUAUUGUCGAGAGGUUAAAUUUAGUUGAAGAAGAAAACAAUUACUUGAAGGAAAAAAUAAAAAAAUUGAGGAGGAGAAGAUGAUAUUGGAGUUGCAUGUUGCGGAUGUCGUCGAUGAUCACAAGAUCAAGAUGGAUGCAAUGCGCUUGAAGAUUAGAAAGAUUAGAAAAUAUGCCAUUCAUACCGAGGCUUGGUAUCAUUAUGCCGUUGGAUCAAUUGUUACCUUGGUUGCGAUUAUGAUCGCAUUUGUUUUCGCAUUGAAAUGUUUUACAUAGUUUCAAUGUAUGGUUUAAUUAAUUAGAUGCUCUGGAGAGCUAUAUAUAUGUUGUUAGAUGAGAACUAUGUAUGUACUUUGGUUCUAAUGUGAUGAUGAACUUAUAUUAAUUUGGUCACUUAAUUAUCUAUUCAUGAUGUUCUGUAAUUGUUGUCGACACACUUAAUUAUAUAUAAUGCACGCAGAUGAACCGGCAAUGGAUGUACGGUGACAGACACACCUCCGAGUACAUUAAGGACGUGCAUGAUUUUCUCGAAGUGGCUGAGGCAAACAAGCAGAAUGGUUUUAUGUGUUGUCCAUGCCCUACAUGUGGGAAUACGAAGUCUUACUCUGACCGGAAAAUCCUUCAUGCCCA
rnacentral:rRNA from 1 species